UUUAUUGGAGAGUUUGAUCCUGGCUCAGGACGAACGCUGGCGGCAUGCCUAAUACAUGCAAGUCGAGCGGAGUUGAUAGGAAGCUUGCUUCCUUGAUGCUUAGCGGCGGACGGGUGAGUAACACGUAGGCAACCUGCCCUCAAGCUUGGGACAACUACCGGAAACGGUAGCUAAUACCGAAUACUUGCUUCCUUCGCCUGAAGGGAGCUGGAAAGACGGAGCAAUCUGUCACUUGAGGAU
rnacentral:rRNA from 1 species